CCAGGAUCUGGGCUGGCAAACCCUGGGCCACUGAAGUGGAACACUCAAACUUAACCACCACGCCACCCGGCUGGCCCCCUUCGGACACAACUUUUAACCUUCAUCAGCCUCAAGUGACCACCUGUAAAACGGCUACAAGGUCUGACUGUCUAUGAGGCUGUGAGCACUUGGUGAUGUUUAAUAAACAGGGCCUGGACUAGGGCAAGAAUGGCCAGAGGCAGAACCAGAAACGUAGGGAGAAGGUUUUCCUUUGCAGCUUUCUGAGAGCCCUUACAAGCACUUGAUCUUUGUUCCCUUCAGCAACAAUGGAUGAGAGUAUACAACAUUGGAGCCACAAAGUGUGAACUGACGUAUGAAUUGGAGAAAGAUGUUUGCCGGGUAGGAGGAAUGUGGAAGACCACGCUGGCUCCAAACUGUGAAGACUGAGGCACAUAUUAGAAGAGUCUUCUCCCCAACAGCUCCCAUCUAUACCAGUUACCAGUUUGCUGCUUCUACCCCAACGACCAGGCCGUCUCCCCUACGCAGAAACCUAUUAACCCUAGGAGGUGCCCUCCAUCCCCGAUCUCUGCAUGCAGUACCAGUAGGCUGGUAUCAAGCACCUUCUCCAUAAGAUGUCUCUUCAAGCUCUCUGGAGUCCUGAGAAGACCCAACAGGCAGAACGUCUAGUGAGAUUAGCCCUGUCUGGACUGAAGAACAAGUCAUUGUCUUUAGCGAGUAUUGGUGGUAUUGAUGCACCAGAACGGUGAUGGAUUUGUGGCACCCUCAUAAUACAGUCAUGUGUCAAUUGAAUGCCUGGGAGGAAGACAUUACCACUCAAGCAUAAGAAUGAAAAAUUGUAGAUUCUAGAGGGAAUCAAGAACACUGUGUCUGAGAUCCUUCCUAACGAUGCAUAGAAAUAAUAGGAGAGAAGGAGGGAAAAGGGGUCUUGAAAGGAGCGUGGGUCAAAGUUUAGAGUAAUAAUGUUUGUACUGUGGUUAUAGUUAUAGCUGUAUAAUCCAUCCUGAGGCUGAUGUGGUCUGGAGAAAAGGGGAAGAGGCCUUAAUAUUUUAGAUUUAUAUUGAAAAUACCUGUUCUUUUUUGUUUUAAGGAAAGGUACAUGAACUUUGGGCUCUGACAGAAUUGGCCUUCAUUGCUAACCACCAUCAUUUACUAGUUCUGGAUACUUGAGCAAGUAAUAAAACCCGCCUAAAUCUG